GAUGAACGCUAGCUACAGGCUUAACACAUGCAAGUCGAGGGGUAACGAGAGGAAAGCUUGCUUUCCUUGUCGACGACCGGCGCACGGGUGAGUAACGCGUAUCCAACCUGCCCCCAACUAAGGAAUAACCUUGCGAAAGUAAGACUAAUACCUUAUAAUUUCCUCAGAUGUCAUCUGACGAGGAAUAAAGAUUUAUCGGUUGUGGAUGGGGAUGCGUCUGUUUAGCUUGUUGGCGGGGUAACGGCCCACCAAGGCAACGAUCAGUAGGGGUUCUGAGAGGAAGGUCCCCCACAUUGGAACUGAGACACGGUCCAAACUCCUACGGGAGGCAGCAGUGAGGAAUAUUGGUCAAUGGGCGAAAGCUUGAACCAGCCAAGUAGCGUGCAGGAUGACGGCCCUAUGGGUUGUAAACUGCUUUUAUACAGGAAUAAAGUUAGCCACGUGUGGUUAUUUGUAGGUACUGUAUGAAUAAGGACCGGCUAAUUCCUUGCCAGCAGCCGCCGUAA
rnacentral:rRNA from 1 species